CCAAACUGUUGCCUCGGCGGGAUCUCUGCCCCGGGUGCGUCGCAGCCCCGGACCAAGGCGCCCGCCGGAGGACCAACCAAAACUCUUUUUGUAUACCCCCUCGCGGGUUUUUUUAUAAUCUGAGCCUUCUCGGCGCCUCUCGUAGGCGUUUCGAAAAUGAAUCAAAACUUUCAACAACGGAUCUCUUGGUUCUGGCAUCGAUGAAGAACGCAGCGAAAUGCGAUAAGUAAUGUGAAUUGCAGAAUUCAGUGAAUCAUCGAAUCUUUGAACGCACAUUGCGCCCGCCAGUAUUCUGGCGGGCAUGCCUGUCCGAGCGUCAUUUCAACCCUCGAACCCCUCCGGGGGGUCGGCGUUGGGGAUCGGCCCUGCCUCUUGGCGGUGGCCGUCUCCGAAAUACAGUGGCGGUCUCGCCGCAGCCUCUCCUGCGCAGUAGUUUGCACACUCGCAUCGGGAGCGCGGCGCGUCCACAGCCGUUAAACACCCAACUUCUGAAAUGUUGACCUCGGAUCAGGUAGGAAUACCCGCUGAACUUAAGCAUAUCAAUAAGUCGGAGGAA
rnacentral:rRNA from 1 species